rnacentral:rRNA from 1 species
CUUAGUUCGUGGAGUGAUCUGUCUGCUUAAUUGCGUUUCAAAAUUUAACUUGAGGACCGGGUUUUGGUUUGGCUAGUGGUUCUACGAUGACUGUGAACUGUCAUGUCUUCGGAUGUGCGACUAUUGGUCUAGGAUCACAUGACUUGCCCCUGGGACUCUUUUGAACGCAACGGACGUGAUUGCAACCCCUUGUUGAGAUUAGAGAUAGUCUCGAUAUUCACUGGACAAACUGGCUGCUUUAUGCAGUCUUGUUGAAUGGUGGAUAAACUCGGGGGACUGCUGACUAUAACCAUUUCUCAAAACAGAGGAAGGUUGCGGCAAUAACAGGUCUGUGAUGCCCUCAGAUGUCCCGGGCUGCACACGUGCUACAAUGAGUGGCGCAAUGUGCUAAUGUUUAAGGGAUAAGAGUGUGGUCAGUAGAACGUCGGGAUUUCCCCUGACGUCUCCCCCGCACGAUUAUCAGCCUUCCCUUAACAGGGCGGGCAACCUUUUCAAAAUACUGGUUUGAUGUUAAAGUAUUGAGUCGUUUUUUUUGGAUGGUGGUUU